rnacentral:rRNA from 1 species
ACUGCUCAGUAACACGUGGAUAACCUGCCCAAGGGUCUGGGAUAACCCCGGGAAACUGGGGAUAAUACCGGAUGGAUCACUAGUGCUGGAAUGCUUGGUGGUCGAAAGGCAACGCCUUUGGAUGGGUCUGCGGCGGAUUAGGUUGACGCCGGUGUAACGUACCGGCGUGCCUGUAAUCCGUACGGGUUGUGGGAGCAAGAGCCCGGAGAUGGAUUCUGAGACACGAAUCCAGGCCCUACGGGGCGCAGCAGGCGCGAAAACUCUACAAUGCAGGCAACUGCGAUAGGGGGACAUCGAGUGGCAUCCACCUUGGGUGCCUGUCCAACCGUCUAAAAAACGGUUGUUAGCAAGGGCCGGGUAAGACCGGUGCCAGCCGCCGCGGUAAUACCGGCGGCUCGAGUGGUGGCCGAUAUUAUUGAGUCUAAAGGGUCCGUAGCCGGCUUUGCAAGUUCCCUGGGAAAUCCAGCGGCUUAACCGUUGGGCUUUCAUGGGAUACUACAUUGCUUGGGACUGGGAGAGGUAGGAGGUACUCGGGGGGUAGGGGUGAAAUCCUGUAAUCCUCCGGGGACCACCGGUGGCGAAGGCGUCCUACCAGAACAGGUCCGACGGUGAGGGACGAAAGCUAGGGGCACGAACCGGAUUAGAUACCCGGGUAGUCCUAGCCGUAAACGAUGCCCGCUAGGUGUCACGACGGUCGUGAAUCGUCGUGGUGCCGUAGGGAAGCCGCGAAGCGGGCCACUUGGGAAGUACGGCCGCAAGGCUGAAACUUAAAGGAAUUGGCGGGGGAGCAC